AGAGUUUGAUCCUGGCUCAGAACGAACGCUGGCGGCAGGCCUAACACAUGCAAGUCGAGCGAGAUCUUCGGAUCUAGCGGCGGACGGGUGAGUAACGCGUGGGAACGUACCCUUUGCUACGGAAUAGUCCCGGGAAACUGGGUUUAAUACCGUAUGUGCCCUUCGGGGGAAAGAUUUUUCGGCAAAGGAUCGGCCCGCGUUGGAUUAGGUAGUUGGUGGGGUAAUGGCCUACCAAGCCGACGAUCCAUAGCUGGUUUGAGAGGAUGAUCAGCCACACUGGGACUGAGACACGGCCCAGACUCCUACGGGAGGCAGCAGUGGGGAAUCUUAGACAAUGGGGGCAACCCUGAUCUAGCCAUGCCGCGUGAGUGAUGAAGGCCCUAGGGUUGUAAAGCUCUUUCAGUCGUGAAGAUAAUGACGGUAGCGACAGAAGAAGCCCCGGCUAACUCCGUGCCAGCAGCCGCGGUAAUA
rnacentral:rRNA from 1 species